CCUACGGGCGGCAGCAGUGAGGAAUAUUGGUCAAUGGACGAGAGUCUGAACCAGCCAAGUAGCGUGAAGGAUGACUGCCCUAUGGGUUGUAAACUUCUUUUAUCUGGGAAUAAAACGUUCCACGUGUGGGAUUUUGUAUGUACCAUAUGAAUAAGGAUCGGCUAACUCCGUGCCAGCAGCCGCGUUAAUACGGAGGAUACGAGCGUUAUCCGGAUUUAUUGGGUUUAAAGGGAGCGUAGGUGGAUUGUUAAGUCAGUUGUGAAAGUUUGCGGCUCAACCGUAAAAUUGCAGUUGAAACUGGCAGUCUUGAGUACAGUAGAGGUGGGCGGAAUUCAUGGUGUAGCGGUGAAAUGCUUAGAUAUCACGAAGAACUCCGAUUGCGAAGGCAGUUCACUGGACUGCAACUGACACUGAGGCUCGAAAGUGUGGGUAUCAAACAGGAUUAGAUACCCCUGUAGUC
rnacentral:rRNA from 1 species